UGGCACUGAGCCAGGGGACACUGUGAUCGUCGAUACCCUCUGCUGUCUGGAGCGUCCGGGGAGGGCUCAACCAAACAGGAAGAGUGGGAUUGGCCAGGUAGAAGGUGCAGAGCUUAAACGGUCGGGAAUGGUGGACCUUAACACAGGAAGGGCUGAGAUUAAAGAGUCACGCACACUGGUUGCUGAGGUUGUUGUAAACGGGCGUGGCUAACAGCAAUAGGAAAUAGGAGGGGCGUAAAGUAAAAGGUAGAUUUGACAUGAAUAAAACCUGAAACAACAAAAAAAAUGUGAAUCAUGUUAUUUAACCGAGGAGGAGUGGAUAGAGGAAUGGAAGGAGGAGAAACAGAGAGGGGACAGGAGGGAAGGAGAGGUCGGAAGGCAGAGAGGAUACGUAGGAGGGAGAUGAGGGAGACAAGAUGGAAGGAGAUGAGAGAGCAGAGUAGGAGAGGUGAAGAAAGGAGGAUAGAGGAGGUGAGUGUCAGCAAGAAAUGAUGCAGUGAACCUGUUUUCUCCAAGAGCCAUUGUGACCUUGCAGCCAAUCAGAUGAAGGAGGCAGACCCAGUCACAGAGGUUACAGGGGUACCAAGAUUACCCAAGGUACCAUUCAGUAUACUUAUUUGUUGUGUGUUUUUUGUUUAUGUGUUUGUGUGUGCCUGCGUGCGUGUUGUCUUGCAUGUGAAUGUGUGUGUGUGUGUGUGUGUGUGUGUGUGUGUGUGUGUGUGUGUGUGUGUGUGUGUGUGUGUGUGUGUGUGUGUGUGUGUGUGGGUGU